AUUGAACGCUGGCGGCAGGCCUAACACAUGCAAGUAGAACGAGUGGCGGACGGGGGAGUAAUGUCUGGGAAACUGCCUGAUGGUGGGGGAUAACUACUGGAAACGGUAGCUCAUAACGCAUACCAUCGGAUGUGCACAGAUGGGGUUAGCUAGUAGGUGGGGUAAAGGCUCAGCUAGGCGACGAUCCAUAGAUGGUCUGAGAGGAUGACCAGCCAUCCUGGAACUGAGAUACGGUCCCGACUCCUACGGUAGGCAGCAGUGGGGAAUAUUCCACAAUGGACGCAAGCCUGAUGGAGCCAUGCAGCGUGUUUGAAGAAGGCCUUCGGGUUGUAAAGUUCUUUCAGUGGGGAGGCGGUACUCUCAGAGGAAGCACCGGCUAACUACGUGCCAGCAGCCGCGGAAAUUC
rnacentral:rRNA from 1 species